GCGGCGUGCUAAUACAUGCAAGUAGAACGCUGAAGGAGGACUUGCUCUUCUGGAAGAGUUGCGAACGGGUGAGUAACGCGUAGGUAACCUGCCUGGUAGCGGGGGAUAACUAUUGGAAACGAUAGCUAAUACCGCAUAAGAUUGAAUAUCGCAUGAUAAUUGAUUAAAAGAUGCAAAUGCAUCACUACCAGAUGGACCCGCGUUGUAUUAGCUAGUAGGUGAGGUAACGGCUCACCUAGGCGACGAUACAUAGCCGACCUGAGAGGGUGAUCGGCCACACUGGGACUGAGACACGGCCCAGACUCCUACGGGAGGCAGCAGUAGGGAAUCUUCGGCAAUGGGGGCAACCCUGACCGAGCAACGCCGCGUGAGUGAAGAAGGUUUUCGGAUCGUAAAGCUCUGUUGUAAGAGAAGAACGAGUGUGAGAGUGGAAAGUUCACACUGUGACGGUAUCUUACCAGAAAGGGACGGCUAACUACGUGCCAGCAGCCGCGGUAAUACGUAGGUCCCGAGCGUUGUCCGGAUUUAUUGGGCGUAAAGCGAGCGCAGGCGGUUAGAUAAGUCUGAAGUUAAAGGCUGUGGCUUAACCAUAGUACGCUUUGGAAACUGUUUAACUUGAGUGCAGAGGGGGAGAGUGGAAUUCCAUGUGUAGCGGUGAAAUGCGUAGAUAUAUGGAGGAACACCGGUGGCGAAAGCGGCUCUCUGGUCUGUAACUGACGCUGAGGCUCGAAAGCGUGGGGAGCGAACAGGAUUAGAUACCCUGGUAGUCCACGCCGUAAACGAUGAGUGCUAGGUGUUAGGCCCUUUCNCGGGGCUUAGUGCCGUAGCUAACGCAUUAAGCACUCCGCCUGGGAGUACGACCGCCAAGGUU
rnacentral:rRNA from 1 species